CCUACGGGAGACUGCAGUGAGGAAUAUUGGUCAAUGGUCGUGAGACUGAACCAGCCAAGCCGCGUGAGGGAUGAAGGUACAGAGUAUCGUAAACCUCUUUUGUCAGGGAACAAAGGCGGGGACGUGUCCCCGGCUGAGUGUACCUGACGAAAAAGCAUCGGCUAACUCCGUGCCAGCAGCCGCGGUAAUACGGAGGAUGCGAGCGUUAUCCGGAUUUAUUGGGUUUAAAGGGUGCGCAGGCGGUCUGUUAAGUCAGCGGUCAAAGCCCGGGGCUCAACCCCGGCCCGCCGUUGAAACUGGCAGUCUCGAGUUGGAGAGAAGUAUGCGGAAUGCGCGGUGUAGCGGUGAAAUGCAUAGAUAUCGCGCAGAACUCCGAUUGCGAAGGCAGCAUGCCGGCUCCACACUGACGCUGAGGCACGAAAGCGUGGGUAUCGAACAGGAUUAGUUACCCCAGUAGUC
rnacentral:rRNA from 1 species